CCCCGCCUGCCUUGCUGUGAGAACAGAGUCACAAACUGAGGUGGUGGAAUCUCCAUCUCUGGAGAUAUUUAAGAGCAGUUUAUUCCAGGAGCGGCUCCAGGCGUUCCCUUUGGUGGGAGAUUCAGGGGACCCAUUGAUCUGGGGGAAGUGACUGGAGGCAACCAGAAGGUGGUGUGAGUUUUGGGGGGCCAGUGACCUUCGAGGAGGUGGCUGUGUAUUUCACCA